UACGUAGGGGGCAAGCGUUGUCCGGAAUCAUUGGGCGUAAAGAGCGUGUAGGCGGCUUGGUAAGUCUGCUCUGAAAGCCCGGGGCUCAACCCCGGGAGGCGGGUGGAUACUGUCAAGCUCGAGUCCGGAAGAGGAGUGUGGAAUUCCUGGUGUAGCGGUGAAAUGCGCAGAUAUCAGGAAGAACACCCGUGGCUAAGGCGGCUCUCUAGUACGGUACUGACGCUGAGACGCGAAAGCGUGGGGAGCGAACAGGG
rnacentral:rRNA from 1 species